rnacentral:sRNA from 1 species
UGAGAGGGUUCUCAUGUCGUGCCGCCUUU